GUACUGUUGCAAUAAAGACAGUAAUUUCACACAAAUGUUCGUAUUUUAAUUUAAUGUUAUAAUUUCAGCAUUCGGCAGAAGAAAAUUAAGAGAACUUGUGGACAUAAAGAUGAUCCUGUUUAUAGUGGCGACAAAGUAGUCAUGGAGGCAAGAAACAGCUGUUAAGCCUACCGUCGUGGCUAUAGGAUUAAUAUAUGUAAUUCAGAAUAUUUUAAUGGAAAUUAGUCUCAUGAUAAAUUCUGUAUUCUGCGUAAGGUUUUAAAGUAAAUAAUACGCAAGAUGAUUUUUCAACUCAGAUUAAAGGGAAAAUAUUCUCAUAUUUUUUUAAAACGAA